AUUCAGAUCACAUAGGGAUCUUGAUAAAAUGCAGACUCUGAUCCAUGAGGGCUGAGUUGGGGCCUGAGAAUCUGCAUUUCUAACCAGCCUUCAGGUGAUGCAGAU
rnacentral:pre_miRNA from 1 species